UGGCUCGCUCAGUCAUUAGAGCAUCAGACUUUGCAUCUGAGGGCUCAGGGUUCAAGUCCUUGGUCA
rnacentral:tRNA from 1 species